rnacentral:tRNA from 1 species
GCUUUAUUAUUAUAUUUAGUAUAUUUAAUUGCAAAUUAAAUGGUGUUAUAAAGCU